UAUUAUUCCUAAGUACUAGUGCCGCAGGAGUGUUUAUAUUUCUCCUGCUGCCUCAGUGCUUAUCAAUGAAU
rfam:Operophtera brumata OBRT01_Sc14406, whole genome shotgun sequence.